AAAACAUUGAGAUGCUGGGUUCCAAGGAACAAAAGUCAAGUUUAAUGAAUUAGAAUAAUUUAGCCAGCUACUUAUCCUCUUAUAUUGAUGUUAGUAUUAACUACUCAAGAUCUAAAUCUACACUUCAUUCCUUUAAAAAGUAAGCGCUCAUUUAUGUUGUAAUCUUCUAAGAAUUGAAUGUUACUAAUUUUUCUAACUUUGUUGGUGCCUGAUGGUAGCUACUUUUUGGCUCAAAGAACACUCUGUGAACAGCAGAGUCAUUGCACAUAUUGAGGAACCUCUUCUAUAUCUGGCCUAGUUCAAGACCUCCCAAGAUUGAGGUCUUAACUAGCCUAGUUCAAAACCUCCUUCACAGUUGCACUACAAAAAGUAAGCAGAAAGCUUCCUUUGUUGGAGGGAUUUAUCUGGGCUCUCUCCCAAGAGGAAGAUUCUUGCACUUUAAUUCCAUAUAGAGAACGUUAAAUUACAAUUCAGCAUGAGUGUAAUGCUUUCUACAGUGGUGUAUGCUUACUAUAUAGCUUCUGAUCUGAUGCCAUUUCUUCCCGUGGUUGUAGGCGGUUUUGAGUCUAGCUUGAGAGUCUACUCUCAGAUUGAUAAAUUGUGGAAGAAUAUAUGAGGCUGACAACGACAGAUCAUUCUGGCUAGCUGCGGGGAUUCUCAUGCAUGAGGUUAAAUAACAGAGCUAUGGAUGAGCAAUACAUGGGAAAGCCACUGGUCGGAUUUUUAAGUUGUGAUGACAACUGCUGCAAAUGAGGCUUGUCAGCCCUUUUAAAGAAACAUAACCUAGUCGAAUUGAGAAGCUUUCGUCUGUUGAAGGGUUCUAAGUUGGCAAAUGCAAAAAGCUUGAGUGGUAAUCCUUCCACCAAUCCACCAGAAGGCUUGAGUGGAUAUAGGAUGCGUAUCUUUUGAUUUAUAGGGAUGAUGAUGUCACAAGGGGAGCUGCCCCAACAGUGAGUGAUGCAAGAGCUAUGAGAUUUUCUACUUUGAUCAUAUUCUAAUUGGAUGCUAAGUUGUCACAAUCUGCUUAAAUUCUAAGACAACUGAAGUCUAC